rnacentral:rRNA from 1 species
AAACUAACAAGGAUUCCCCUAGUAACGGCGAGUGAAGUGGGAAAAGCUCAACUUUGUAAUCUGGCUGUCUUUGGCAGUCCGAGUUGUAGUCUAGAGAAGUGUUAUCCGCGCAGCCCCUUAUAGAUUUCGGUUGGAAUGCCAAGUCAAAGAGGGUGAGAAUCCCGUAUUUGAUAAGGUGGGCUUGUGCAUUGUGAUACAUUUUCAAAGAGUCGAGUUGUUUGGGAAUGCAGCUCAAAGUGGGUGGUAAAUUCCAUCUAAAGCUAAAUAUUGGCGAGAGACCGAUAGCGAACAAGUACCGUGAGGGAAAGAUGAAAAGCACUUUGGAAAGAGAAUGAAAUAGUACAUGAAAUUGCUGAAAGGGAAACGAUUGAAGUUAGACUUGCGCGGUUGGUAUUCAACCUUGACUUCGGUCUUGGUGCAUUUGCCUUCCAUUGCAGGCCAGCAUCAGUUUACUUUGCUGUAAAAGGGUUUGAGGAAUGUGGCUUCUUCGGGAGUGUUAUAGCCUCUUUCUGGAUGCAGAAUCGUAGACUGAGGAACGCAGCGCGCCUUUAUGGCAAAGCUUUCAAGCUUCGAGCGCUUAGGAUGCUGGUAGAAUAGCUUUAAACGAC